GGUGGUGAUAAUAUCUGGGAGCCAAGAAAGAGUGUCAUCUGCAGCAGCAGCAACAUGUUACGGCUUUGUUUGAUUUGGCUGGUCUCCAGUUUCUUUGAGGAAUCCAGUGGGCAGAUUGUCAUCACUCAGACACCGGCUUCUUUACAGGCAAGUCCUGGGGACAGAGUGACAAUCCAGUGCAAAGCUGCCUCUUCUGUCAGUAACUAUAUGGCCUUAUAUCAGUUUAAAUCAGGACAGAAACCCAAGCUACUGAUUUAUGGGGGUUCAACUCGUUUUGAAGGGACCCCUGAUCGCUUCAGUGGCAGCUACAGCGGCAACGACUUCUCCUUCACUAACAACGGUGUCCAUGCCGAAGAUGAAGGGGUAUAUUACUGUGGCCAAUACAACAGCUAUCCUCUCCACAGUGAUACACUUCAGUACAAAAACCAGCUCAGUGGCCUAAGACAGAAGGAAGGAAUGGCAGUGGAUGCGCUGCAGCAACAGCAGCAGCAUGCUGCAGUAGCGCAUCUUUUUCCAGGUCAGAUUGUUCCAGGUUACAUACCUGGCACUAUCAGCAACAGCAAAAGUGAGGAACCCCUGGCAAAUACCCUGUUGAGCCCUGACAGACUUGGAUUACAUGGACUGAGAGUGAUACGGAUCUCACCUGUUGAAUCCAGUACCUCUCUCCUAACCUAG